rnacentral:rRNA from 1 species
GCGAGUGAAGAGGGAUCAGCCCAAAAUUGUAAUCUGGCUCUUUCAGAGUCYGAGUUGUAAUUUCAAGAACUGUUUUCUGCUCUGGACCAUGUACAAGUCUGUUGAAAUGCAGCAUCAUUGAGGGUGAGAAUCCUGUUCAUGAUAUGGACUACCAGGGCUUUAUGAUACAGUUUCUAAGAGUCGAGUUGUUUGGGAAUGCAGCUCAAAGUGGGUGGUAAAUUCCAUCUAAGGCUAAAUAUUGGUGAGAGACCGAUAGCAAACAAGUACCGUGAGGGAAAGAUGAAAAGAACUUUGGAAAGAGAGUUAACAGUACGUGAAAUUGUUAAAAGGGAAACAGUUGAAGUUAGACUUGUUGUUGUUGGUUCAGCUCUUUAAGGGUGUUUUCUGAUAAUUAACAAACCAACAUCAAUCUUUGGGUGUUGGAUAAGGGUCAUUGAAAUGUAGCAGUUUUGGCUGUGUUAUAGUCUUUGACUUGGAUACAAUGCCUGGGAUUGAGGAUUGCAGUAAGCCCCUAUGGGGUGGAACAAUUUAUUGUUCUUCUUACUGAGGAUGUUGGUGCAAUAGCUUUAAUUGACCCGUCUUGAAACACGGACCAAGGAGUCUAACAUGCUUGCGAGUAUUUGGGUGUUGAAACCCUCAUGCGUAAUGAAAGUAAAUGUA